GCCAAGACCUUUACGUUCAAAUGUAAACAAUUUCUUAAUUGUAAUCUUGGCACUAUAACUAAUAAUAGCAGAAUGACAGAAACUAAAGUGCAGUUUAGCCUCCGCGCCACUAGGCGGCAUAAGCGGGUUUCAGCUUCAGUCUGACUCCUUCGGCUGCUUGACAACAUGACGCUUGAUGACAGUCACAACAACAACACGUGCAGAUCCUGCAGAUGACAGCUGUUAAUGUCAGUUUAACAACAUGUUUUUCAGCUAAUCUGCAAAUAAAACCGACACACGGUCCGAUAAAACGCUGGAAUCGAGUGUGACGCGUCUCACCCAAUAAAUUAUGUGAUGUUGGUUGUAAACUGGUCCGGCUGAAGCAGAGCUCUGGACGUGUGGACAGACAUUGACUGUAAUGAUGGACAUCUGCUCAGGGACAGUCUGUGCAAAAGUAUAACCGCUGCGGGUCACGGUGCUGGAAGCUCCAGGGGGAGACCGUACUGAUAUCCCCCUUCUUCGGGCGCGCCUUCACACACACUCCAGCAUUCACUCAUAUCGCAGAGACCUGGCUGGGAUCAAACCAGCAACCUCUGAACCCGUGAGGCAGUGCUCUUACCUGUGAGCCACAGGUCUCUUGUUGGAGUACAUGAGUACAAGAAGUUUACCUGUGAUUUCCCAGUACAGAAGUUAAAGUAACGUGUGUAUGUGGUGGAGAGAUUUGAACCCAUGUCUCCAUCACAAACUCAUACUCAGAAGACGUGUGUUUAUCCACUAAGCCAUCAUGGAUUUCACGUUGUUUUCUGACGUUUGAGUGACUUUGUUGGCUGUGACCAGUUUAAAGUAAGCAAUAAUGGGAUUCAAACCAGGACUUUUAUAUGUGAGAGUGAAACCUUUUACCACUGAGCCACAGAGAUUGUAGGUUUGUACUUGUUUUUAUUUUUAGGCUUGUUUAGAUUUUAAGUUUAAGUUGAGUAAAAGAUGUUACUGCUUCUGUGGGAUUUGAACACAUCUUUGUUGUAGUUUCAUGAUUCAAAGUCACAUGUUUAGCCAACGCACCACUAGGCUUUUAUAUUGUUUGAACCUCAUUUUAGGUUAGACACAAGUAAGUUUAAAACUCUCUAUAUUUGAUUCAGUACUUUCACACC